UACGUAGGUGGCGAGCGUUAUCCGGAAUUAUUGGGCGUAAAGAGCGCGCAGGUGGUUGAUUAAGUCUGAUGUGAAAGCCCACGGCUUAACCGUGGAGGGUCAUUGGAAACUGGAGGACUUGAGUACAGAAGAGGAGAGUGGAAUUCCACGUGUAGCGGUGAAAUGCGUAGAGAUGUGGAGGAACACCAGUGGCGAAGGCGACUCUCUGGUCUGUAACUGACGCUGAGGAGCGAAAGCGUGGGGAGCAAACAGGAUUAGACA
rnacentral:rRNA from 1 species